CGCUUGUGGCUCAGCGGGCGGUUCGUCGAUUCGAGUGCUCCGAACGUACGCAAUCCGAUCGACGUCCAACGACCGGAUUCGCUGUUCCGUUCGAAAGUCGGAAGAGUGGCGAUUCCAGCGAGAUGAGAGCUCCAGCUUCCCGAUCUUCCUCCGGGUUGGGGUUCCUCGAAGAUUUCCAACCCAGUUGGUUUCUAAGUGUGUAUAAGUUGUGCUCCUAAUUUACUUGGUAGACGAACCAUGGGGAAAGUUGUCUACCUCCAAGAAUAGUCGGGUGAAGCCUGAAGACCUCGAUUAUCAAUACAAAGAUCACCGUUAAAUUUUACCAUCGGUUUCAGUAAAACCAGAAGCUAAUUUUUUCUCCUAUUCCCUACAGCUUACUUUUAAUGCCAAUGGAGUUGAAUCUGUACCUUCUAUGCUUCAACGCAAUUAUGCUCUAAAUUUUAGAGAAGCACCACAUGCUUUUGUUAGAAGGGGCUGAAGGCACUGUAUGGUGAUUCAGUCGAUGGGAUUCAGGCACUCAGAACUGUUUCACACAAACCAUAUAAACCAUAAUUUGUGAUCAUGGUUUACAGCUGAACCACCAGCCGUCAAACUGGAGUUGCCUGUGGAUCCAAACGAGCCCUGAUACUGUAUGUAACCAAGUUAGCUUCGGCAACAUGGUUGCUCCUGACAACCCCGGUGUAUGCUAUACCGUCUUUGGUCUGAGCUUGUCGUGCAAAUUCUUUUACUGCAGUGCAAGAUAGAAUGGUUCCAUUUUAGUGUGUUGGUCUCCAAGAGCAUCCUAAGGGCAAAUGUUAUUGUUCCAACUGCAUCUGCUACUUUCGUCACACCGAAACAUCUCGAGAUCAUGAAUGAAUAACUUAUCUGAAUCAUUCAGAGACAACUUAGUUUCUGUUUCAAUCUGUGAACUUACUAUCUUUUUAGUAUUCUUCAGAAUCUUUGUAAAUUAUAGGACAUGGAUUGCAAGAUGAUCAGAUGACCAUGCUCUUUAUGUUCCCUUUUGAGAGCAAUUAAAGGCAACAAUAAGUUCACUAUCUGUAUCUAAAUGUAUGAUUUUUUUUAAAGUUGUUUAAUGUUUAA